CAAAUCCAAUUGUUAAUUUGUGGGUUAAAAAUUAAUUUUCAAAUAUAUUCUCCCUCUAAUCUGACUGAUACUGAGUUAUUUUGUAAAGAAGAACUUGCAAGAAUGUGAUUUUCUAUCAAUGUAAAUUUGAUUGAUGCAAAUCCCCAAAACUUGCUGUGUCUUCAGUGGAAUGUGCUUCUGAAAAGCACCAAUUCAGUAAUAUUCAGAUGUUUAUUUGUAACAAAAACUAAAAAUCAUGCAUAUUUUUUCUUCCACCUCACAGUUAUUCUCUGGUUUGUGUUUGUUGCUGUUCUCCUCUCGGCUUCUCCUUCCAAGCAGUUGCCACAGCACAGCAGCCUCCCCCAAUCCACAGCUGCAUACAGAUGGACUUAGCACAAGUUUUAUACCGAAUGCCCUUCCUGAUGCAAACCUUCCUGUUGUCAGCAACAAGGAGUGGGUUUCAAACGAGGACCAACUUGAAGGGCUACUUGCUGUCGCAUCUGAGCCAUUGACAACCUCAAUAAGAUAUCGACAGUGUUUUGAGACAAGAAGGAGGGUUGUCUAUUACUCAUGUGACGGAAUUUAUAGCGUUAUUCCAGAUGAUUCAUCUGCAGGACCAUGUACUUCACGUGUGCUGUACACCACUUCUGUCAUUAAGCAACAAAAGGCAUCAUGAAAGUCACCAUAACAAGACUUCACCUGAAUGUGAUGCAUAAAUCCAUUACAUGCAUGUAUUUUGUUCAUUUCACUUUUGUGCUACUCCAGGACAAUGCAACAGUGUUGACCUGACAGAUUUAGCCACAAGAUUUAGCAUUGUUCAUACAACUUGAACUUUUCACAUUUUGUCAUAAUUUCAAAUGACUUUGAAAACAUAAAGGAAAAUUUAAAUGAAAUUUGUUCUGUAUGCAUUACAUGGAUUUGUAUUGAUUUGUCUCUAUCAGUCUUAAUUUUGUGCCAGUUCCUUGUAAAACAACUUGAACUCCAUCAAGCUUGGUAGUGACUGUGAACAUUAAUUUUCUAGCUGUGACAUAGAUUCAAAAUUAGACUUAGGUCUCUAUUUUGACUGGGUCAUUUUAAGAUAUGUUUACUGUCAUUCUGAUGGAAGAUAAAACUCUAUCUAAUAUCUAUUGGAGUAUGCAAAACUAAGAAGUUAGGAUGUUAAGAAGUGAGGAUACUGUUAUAGAAGUCAAAUCAACUAUGACAUUCUUCUGCUGACACGGAAGUGAAACUACGCACAAGUGGACUGUGCUUACUCAUUAUAUAACAGGAUGUAGUUGGUUGCACUAGUUUUUAUUUAGCUUUAACAGAGUAAAGGAGACUGUACACAAAACACACACCAUAUUUAUACGAUUUCUAUUUGUAAAAUAAAUCUGUCUUUUAUCUUCUUGUUCAUCAAUAUACACUGCAUGUUCUACUGUGUAAAAUCCCAGUGACAUAUAUAGAAGUUUGUUGUUUUAUCAUGACAAAAUGUCAAAAUUCCAAUUUGUAAGAAAACUUUUGAAUUAGGUUGCAAAUUCUACUAUUUUGAGUUGUUUUUUUGUUGUUUUUGUUUUGUGCAAUGGACAAUAUGUGUAGUUUAUGAUGCAUUAUGGGCUCAACUAGUUGUGUGCUUAAUUAAUUUUAUUUUACCAAUGUGUUUCACUUUUUGCCCUGUAAAUACUGAAUGCUGAUUGCAAUAAUGUUUUGGUUAGUAAGCCAAUGGCUUCAAUGUUCGCUAUGUCCACUUCAUUUAUGUAAAGUGAAUAAGUAAAUCUCUAUCCAAUUCUUUGAAAACGUACACAUUUUGGAGCCAACAGUGUGAAAAUAAAUAAAUUUACAACCAUU